rnacentral:pre_miRNA from 1 species
GUGGCUGGGCCAGGGCCGCAGUGCAUGAUGACUGCAAGGUGAAUAUUAUAAAAUACACCUUGCAGUCACCAUGCACUGCGGCCCUGGCCCAGCCACA